CUGCCAAUCGAGCCCUGGCUCGGUCUUGGGCGUCUGCGUCAGCCGCACGCCUCGAAGUCUCCGGCUCCAACCAUCCAUCCCCGAGCGCUGUGGCACUCUGUUUCCGCUCGCGGCGACUGGGAGGUGGGCUGCCGUUAAACAUUCUUAUCU
rnacentral:misc_RNA from 1 species